UACGGGGGGGGCAAGCGUUGUUCGGAAUUACUGGGCGUAAAGGGCUCGUAGGCGGCCAACUAAGUCAGACGUGAAAUCCCUCGGCUUAACCGGGGAACUGCAUCUGAUACUGGAUGGCUUGAGUUCGGGAGAGGGAUGCGGAAUUCCGGGUGUAGCGGUGAAAUGCGUAGAUAUCCGGAGGAACACCGGUGGCGAAGGCGGCUUCCUGGACCGACACUGACGCUGAGGCGCGAAAGCCAGGGGAGCAAACGGG
rnacentral:rRNA from 1 species